AUUAAAAUAAUUUUUUCUUGUAUAUUCAGCACUUUAAAUGAAAAUCAAAUAGUGUUUGAAGUUUGCAUCACGUGAAAGUGUUACUUCUCUGCAUUCGAUCUUCCUUUGUUUAUAGUGCCCGACAUCUAUAUUUUUUGGCUUUCCAUCUAGUGAUUGUCUCGUAACACGUGUCUUUUAUCCUACCGUCCUACGUUUUACCUAGCAACCUACUAGUAACAACUAACAAGUGAGUUACUAGUAAGUAGUAACAAUACUUAAUAUCGAACUCAAAGUUACCAGUGGCUACUGGCUGCUGCUGAAUUUUUCAAAUAUAAUGUGCCUGCUCCCGGCUGUUUAAUCACUCGGUGACGGCUGGCUUCUCGUCGAGUGAGUUGUCUCGAAGUCUCGUAGUCUCGUACUUCAAACUUUCGAAUGCUGACUGCUGAAGCCUGAAGGACUGUCUAAACCCCCAUUCCCGAACUGUGUCUGUAGACAGCAGUUGUGUUGCUGUCAGUGACUCAGUGUUGGCUGUGUCGCCACUGGCACUGUCUCUGUGUCUGUGAGUCUGUCAGUGUCACAUUCGCACUGCAUAGUGCAGCACUCAGAGUUAGAGACUAGAGUACCUCUCCUUUUCUCCAACUCAAAGUCAAGGUGUGCUGUCAGCAGUUGACCAUCUGGAGGAGGGGAGCUCGUAUGGGAGUAGUACUCCAAACGCAUCUCACCAAGGCGGGAUCUCAAAUGGCGGGCCUUCUCUGUCAGCUUAAUGCUGAUUUAUGACUGUCAUAGGUUUUAUGUUCUUUCAGGACACGUGGUGAGAGCUGUGGAAUGUUGAAACAAAUCGAAAAUUUCUUUUUUUUUUUGCUGAGGCUAGCAAAAUUAUAUUUCUGCAUGUCCCUAAACUAAACAUUAUUUGUUGCCUGUACGAGACGUGUUUUUAAAAUCUAUUCCACAGGCUGCCGCUGGCGCUAGAAUCAUUUCUAUGCGUGGCUAGGCCAUGGAGGCAGGCUGUUUGAUUCCCCAACUCUAAUCCCUUACCAGCCAGCCUCCCUGCGACGCUUGAUCUUGCCCCAGAGUGCGUCAGUGGUUGUGCUUCCUCUUGCGUCUCCUGCCAGCUGCGAGUUGCGGUCUGUUACUCGUUUCUUGGCAGCUGAGAAGAAAUCAGUGAAGGAAAUUCAUGAAGAACUUUUGUCAAGUGUAUGGAUAAUAGUGUAUGAGCUCCGGGAUGGUGCGUAGAUGAGUCAGGGACUUUGAAAAUGGCCGAACUGACGUCCUCGA
rnacentral:lncRNA from 1 species